AGUGAACGCUGGCGGUAGGCCUAACACAUGCAAGUCGAACGGCAGCACAGGAGAGCUUGCUCUCUGGGUGGCGAGUGGCGGACGGGUGAGGAAUACAUCGGAAUCUACUCUGUCGUGGGGGAUAACGUAGGGAAACUUACGCUAAUACCGCAUACGACCUACGGGUGAAAGCAGGGGACCUUCGGGCCUUGCGCGAUUGAAUGAGCCGAUGUCGGAUUAGCUAGUUGGCGGGGUAAAGGCCCACCAAGGCGACGAUCCGUAGCUGGUCUGAGCAGAUGAUCAGCCACACUGGACCUUAGACACGGUCCAGACUCCUACGGGAGGCAGCAGUGGGGAUAUUGGACGAUGGGCGCAAGCCUGAUCCAGCCAUACCGCGUGGGUGAAGAAGGCCUUCGGGUUGUAAAGCCCUUUUGUUGGGAAAGAAAUCCAGCUGCUAAUACCCGGUUGGGAUGACGGUACCCAAAGAAUAAGCACCGGCUAACUUCGUGCCAGCCGCCGCGGUAA
rnacentral:rRNA from 1 species